AUGGGGCUGCUGGAGCUUAACCGGUUGAUGUCCAUGCGGCAGCGUCGGCGCCACCGGAAAAUCCAAUCCCGUAGUAUGUCGAUUUCUUCGGCUAAACGAAAGGGCUUGCCUGGUCAACAAGACGUCAAUCCCCAAGCUUGCAAACGAAGGACGUAUUCAGUGCCGGACCUUCCAAAGGACAUCUGGCAUGAUAUACUGUCCCUGCUGCCGCUGUCAGAUGCUGCCCGAGCUGGCUGUGUGUCUCACACAUUUCUAAGCUCCUGGAGAUCCCAUCCCAACCUCACCUUAAGCAAGGAAACACUGGGCCUGAAUGGAAAUGCAUGUGGACAAGAUGAACUGGCACGGAUUUUCACCAACAGAGUUGACUGCAUUAUGGAAAAUCACUCAGGUGGCUUGAAGACAUUCAAGCUUGAUUAUUGUGGUUCUUCUUUCGACACCAGCUGUCUCAACAGGUGGCUUGACAGUGCUGUUACUCCAGGGAUUGAAGAAGUCAAACUUUCAAUGCCUCUAGGAUGCAACGCAGUUUAUUACGGCUUCCCAUGCUCAGUUUUAUUCAGUGGGAGUGGAAACUCAAUUCGACAUCUUCACCUUAGCCGUCGUGCCUUCCAUCCCACGGCAGGACUUGGUUGCUUGACAAGGCUCCAUCUGUCUCAGGUGCACAUCACGGGAGAUGAGUUAGGGCACCUUCUGUCCAAUUCUCUUGCUAUGGAGGAGCUGACUCUCAAUGGUUGUGGUAAGAUCAUUCACCUCAAGAUAUCUUGCCUGCUACAUCGGCUCAACAGCCUGUCAGUGUUUAAUUGCACAGCUCUGCAAGUGAUAGAGAAUAAAGCACCAAAUGUUUGCCUUGUCCGCAUCGAUGGCGCCCUAGAGGAACGUCUGGUUGGAGAUUUGUUGCAGGUGAAGGAACUGCAAAUGUUGGAUUACUACGAAUGUGACCUUGUUCAUUAUGCUUGUUCCAAGCUUCCAUUCAUCAUGCCAAAUCUUGAAACCCUCGGCCUAUCUUCGGCUGGAGAGAUGCUCAGCACACCAAUCUUAGCUGUCAAAUUCCUCUACCUGAAGAAGCUGCGGAUUGAUCUUAAUGAUCUACAGAUGGGGGGCUUUUCCCCAGCCUAUGAUUAUUUUUCUCUAGCUUAUUUCCUGGAUGCGUGUCCUGUCGUGGAGAAGUUUGUGUUGGGUGUAUCACAGACUCGAGUAAAGCAUGAAUUGAUUUGUGAUGAAGACUCGAACAUGAGACAGAUGCUGGGACAUCGCCAUUGCAACCUCAAGAACGUCAGGAUAAUGGGCUUCUGCUCUGCAAAGAGCAUGGUCGAACUAACUUGCCAUAUUCUUGAGAAUGCAACUUCACUCGAGCGCCUUACGUUGGACGCCAUAUACGAUAAUAGUAGUUAUGGGGACGCUGAUAGGUCUUGUGUCGGAAAAAAGGGUGAAUGCAACCCAAAAAGCAGGAGUAUCAUCAAGCACGCCCACAAAGGGCUGUGGGCAAUUGGUAAAUAUGUCGUGGAGAAAGUUCCCUCCACGGUUCAGUUAAGUGUGAAGAAGCUCUGCAGCCGUUGCCAUAAAAUUAAAUGGUGGUGCCUGGCCAUGCAGGCUUUAAAAAUACAAGUGUAUUUCGUGUACCUUCUUCAGUUGAUGAAACAUUCUAUCAGUGUUGUACAAAAAUACAUGGGCCGUGCUUUCUUUGUUUCUUUCUUAAACAAUCAUUUGUCUGGUUAUGUCAAGAUCAGCUCCUGGUGA
rnacentral:rRNA from 1 species